UACGUAGGUGGCAAGCGUUGUCCGGAUUUAUUGGGCGUAAAGCGAGCGCAGGCGGAAAGAUAAGUCUGAUGUGAAAGCCCCCGGCUUAACCGAGGAAUUGCAUCGGAAACUGUGUUUCUUGAGUGCAGAAGAGGAGAGUGGAACUCCAUGUGUAGCGGUGGAAUGCGUAGAGAUAUGGAGGAACACCAGUGGCGAAGGCGGCUUCCUGGUCUGCAACUGACACUGAGGCGCGAAAGCGUGGGGAGCAAACAGG
rnacentral:rRNA from 1 species